rnacentral:rRNA from 1 species
AUACGGAGGGUGCAAGCGUUGCUCGGAAUCACUGGGCGUAAAGCGUACGCAGGCGGUUUACUAAGUCGGGUGUGAAAGCCCAGGGCUCAACCCUGGAACUGCAUUCGAAACUGGUAGACUUGAGUACGGGAGAGGGGAGCGGAAUUCCUGGUGUAGAGGUGAAAUUCGUAGAUAUCAGGAGGAACACCCGUGGCGAAAGCGGCUCUCCGGCCCGAUACUGACGCUCAUGUACGAAAGCGUGGGUAGCAAACAGGAUUAGAUACCCCUGUAGUCC